UAUAGAUUCAAAAAAUAACCGGCACUCACGGUUUUCUCAAGUAAUAUCACUUUAAUACUCGGAAUUAAAGUGAUAUUACUUGAGAAAACCGUGAGUGCCGGUUAUUUUUUGAAUCUAUACAC